rnacentral:tRNA from 1 species
GGCAACUUGCCAGAGUGGUUAAUGGGUGAGACUCGAAAUCUCAUGGCUUCGGCCGCGUAGGUUCAAAUCCUGCAGUUGUCG